GUGUCAUGUUUUGUGUGUGUCAUUCAGAUGGCUCGCUCGCGUGUGUGGGUGAGAAAAUGAUGGCGCCCGGCCGAGGCCAGGCCACCAUCAAAAAAAACAAUGCACAGGGGUAGGUAAGGCGGACAUACAGUGAUGAUCCUUCCGCAGGUUCACCUACGGAAA
rnacentral:misc_RNA from 1 species